AAGGCUUACGGUGGAUACCUAAGGACCUAGAGACGAGGAAGGGCGUAGUAAUCGACGAAAUGCUUCGGGGAGUUGAAAAUAAGCAUAGAUUUGGAGAUUCCCGAAUAGAGAAACCUUUCAAACUACUGUUGAAGCCAUGCAUAGGUAAGAGACA
rnacentral:rRNA from 1 species